AUAAAGAAAGGAGAGAAGGGCACAUGAAGGAUGCCUGGGCUCUCGGAGGCGAUGAAGGACGUGACAAGCUGCGAAAAGCCGCGGGAAGGAGCAAAUAUCCUGUGAUCCGCGGAUGUCCGAAUGGGGCAACCCGGCGCGGGCGACCGCGUCACCACCCUUUAAGGGUGGAGCGAACCCGGGGAACUGAAACAUCUCAGUACCCGGAGGAAAAGAAAAUAACCCAAUGAUUGCGCAAGUAGUGGCGAGCGAACGCGCAGGAGCCCAAACCGGCGGUGUCGAGGCACCGACCGGGGUUGUAGGACCGCCAAUGAAUGGACAGGACAAGCGUAGCCGAACCCACUGGAAAGUGGGGCCGCAGCGGGUGACAGCCCCGUAGGCGAAACGCGCGUGAUGACAGAGGCGGCACCUGAGUAAGCCGGGACACGAGGAAUCCUGGCCGAAUCCGCGGGGACCAUCCCGCAAGGCUAAA
rnacentral:rRNA from 1 species